UCUGAAACUGGAGUUGGAGCAGGCCAAGGAGCAGAUCGAAGAUCUGUCGCUGGAGAGGAGCGAGGAGCAGGAGAUGAUCAGGGCCGCCGUCCGAUCCGCGAGGGGGGAGCUCCAAGGCGAGCGGAGGAUGAGGCGGCGUUCGGAGAGCCUGCAUCGGAAGGUAGCCAGAGAAUUAUCGGGAGUGAAGGCGUCGUUCUUGAGGGCCCUGGAAGACCUAGAGAGAGAACGGAAGGCCCGGGACCUGUUGGAAAGCCUCUGCGACGAGUUCGCAGAGGGCGUCAGACGAUACGAAGAGGAGGUGAGAGAAUGGAGGCAGAAAUCCGGCGGAGGGUGCGGCCAUGGGCGGGACCGGCCGGUGCUUCACAUCGCUGAAGAAUGGCUGGGCGAGCGGCUCCAGAUGAAGCUCGCCGGAGCCCGGGGCGACCUCCGGGAGAAGAAUACGAUUCUAGAGAGACUCACCUCUGAGGUCGAAUCGUUUGUCCAGAGCAGAUGGAGGCACAGCUCUCGCAGUGAGGUUCUUCACGCCGAUCUCUCCGUCGACGGCUUCUUUCGCCGCCAACCUCCGGAGUCGGCUCAACUCCGGGAUCCCGCGGACGACGAUGACGA
rnacentral:lncRNA from 1 species